GAGGCUAUAGCUCAAGGCAUAGAGCGCAUGCUUAGCAUGCAUAAGGUCCUGGGUUCAAUCCCCAGUACUUCCU
rnacentral:tRNA from 1 species